CCUGAAGCCUUGGCAUUGGAAGCCGUGUGUGUCUGUGUGUGAGUGUGUGUGAGUGUCUGCGUGUAUGUGUUUGUGUGUGUGUCUAUGUGUGUGUGUAUCUGUGUAUGUGUCUGUGUGUGAGUGUGUGUGUGUCUCUGUGUGUGUCUAUGUGUGUGUGUAACUGUGUGUGUGUGUGUCUUGCAUCAUUGCCACCCCUGCUGUUCCUAUCUAGAGAUUCAGGCCUUCCAGGCCAGGAGGAGCAGAAGUCCCAGGACUGAUGACACUCGCAGUCAUCGGAUCCAUACCAUUCAGUUAAGAGUGUCUGGAGAGGAGGUGAGGCAGAACAUGUCUGCAUCCGUGUUUCCCUGGGAACAGAGUGUCAAACAGACACAGGAAUGUCCUUCGCACUGGGAGAGAUGGGAGGCCUCUCAUGGGGUAACCUUCCCCAUGUGCCUGUCGCCCCAUUUAAGGUAGCUGCUUCAAGCCUGGGCUUGUGUAUAUACCUGUUAGAACAAAUAUGGAUGUGUGGAUGGGCCCAUUAAAGCCUGAACGUAGUGAGAAUAAAGGUCACGAAGAACUCAAUUUUCACCCCCUUUUUGGAGUUCUGUGACCAUUGUGUACCUGUUCAGAGCUGGCAGCUUUGUAGAGACAAGCAUGUUUGCUAGAACUGGUUAUCAUAGAAAGCACAAUCUUAGCAAGGCUAGGCUGUGGGUCAGCAGUGGAUAGAAGAGUCUAAACCCAAAGUGCAGGAAGUUCCUGCAGAAUUACACCAGAGAGGCUGGAAUCCAGGGUCCCUUAAACUAAAGGCAGGCUGAGCUCCUCUGGUGUGUUUGCAGCCGUGUGCACGCUUGGGCAAACUGGAAAGCUGUCGAUCCUGGCUUCAUGAGGUACACAGUCUGGUGACAAAGCCAGAUUCUGAGUCAGUAAGUCUUAAGGGAAGCACAAGCAUUGUGGUGUGUGUGUUCAUAUGUUUGUGUGUAUGUGUGUUGGAGGGUACUAGUUACGGUCUGGGUUUAGAAGGAGCCUCUCCAAGGAAGUUUUCUUCUGGCUGAUGUCAAAUGGAAACCAGAUGGAGUGGCGUCUGAUAAGCAGAUGGGUGGAGUCUGGAUUGGUAGAUGCUGAGAUCCCGGUCAUGGGAGAAUAACAGCCACAGCUGCCAUCCUUAAGUCGAGUCAGAGGUCAUCAGGGAAGAUCUUUGGAUCAGCGAGGCCCCCACUUACUCACUCAGCUGGCAGAGCAGCGCCGACCCCUUGGAGAUCCAAUAAUCACUGAUCCUCUUGGAGGGUACAGUGACAGGCAUUUUGUCUUCAGUGUGUAGCCAUUCUGUGCAGCAAGUCACUCUUCCCUUCUGUGGCUGUCUAAGGCCCUUGAGAAGGAGAUGGUGCACUCGGAUGGCCAUGGCUCCUUCUGCCACUGCUCUCUCAGAUUCCAUCGGAGUGGGAUGGACAUCAGGGAAGGCAGCCUCGGACCCAGCAGAGGGUGCCUCUACCUUGUCACCUUUCUGGCCCGUUGGAUACCUGGCAAGCCGCUCUACCUUCCCUGUGUAUUUACUGGUUUUAUGCAGUCCAGAAAUUUGUCUCCAUGCUUCUUUAGGUGCCAGCCCAACACAGGCAAUCAGUGCCUGGAGUACGUGAGGCCUUCCAUAGGUCUGGAGGAAGACUCAGGACACAACUAAACCCCUGCAUCCAUUGACUCAGUUUAAGCAGAAUCAAUUCUCUGCUGGCCAGAAAUGAGUGUAGCUGCCUUCCGAAAUCCCCUCCCCCUCAAUCUCCCGGCGCCCUCCUAAGGGCUUCACUGUCCAGUCUGCUUGGCUCACAGAUAGACAAUAAGCACCUCUAAGGGGUAGAUGAUUGGGACAGACGUGAGUGUGUCUCAUGUCACAUGUCCUCCACUGACAUCCUGGAGGGCUGAUGUCAGAGGUCUUGUGCUUCUGACAAACAGGAUGGCCACGACACACAUGUUGUGUAGUGGACUGCCAUUCAAGAAAGCAAAGGCUGGCUGCUUACUGCAGAGGGAAGGAGGGUGACUGGAAGGUUAAGGACAGUGCUGGGUAGGCAUAGACAUGUGGAUCUCUAUGAGCUGGAGGCCCAGCUUGGACUACAUGGCAGGUUCCAAACUGCCAGGGCUACAUAGUGAAACCGGAUCAAAACAGAUGGGUGGAUGAAUGAGAAAGAAAAGGAUGCAGAAAUAAAGGCUGUGUUCCCACAGAAGGGAUUUAAUGGGCUUUAGAACUACAGAGCCUGCUCACCAAAGCUGCUGUCUGCAGGCAGGACCAGGGCCUGCACUGCAGGGGCUUAGCUGAACUUACUCUGAGCUGGGUGGAGACCCCUUAGUGAAGAAACAUGUUUUACAUCUGAGAAUAAUUCAGGGUUCAUCACAAGGGGAACUGCCUUCAUCCUUCCUCAUGAUGCUACAGUUAACAGGAGACUUGGAAAGCCAUUAGUUCAGCGUAGCUUGAAAACAGUACUAGUGUGUUGUUCUAAGCCAGACUGAGAAAUUGUUAGAGCACUCUCAGAGGUCAGCUAGGCUCACUGUUCAUGUGUGAUCAUGCUUAGCUUUUCUUUUAUCGUGGAAAAAAACCCAAAAGCAUAAAUGGUCCUUCUGUAUCCAUCUCAUGAUGCACCCUUCACAUGCCUUGUAGAUUAUUUUGAAGAAAUAGUAGGUAAAAACUUUUGCUGCAUCUAUUUUGGUAUGUGUCUCUAAAUAAUGACUAUUAAAGGCACAAAUAUCAUAGCUAAAAUAUUAAUUUCUAAGAGCUGUUCAAUUUUUUCUAGUGUGCACACAUACAUGUAUAAACUCACUACACACACACAUUGUAUGUGUAUAUACAUAUGUUAUAUUGGUACUCGACAAUUACCUUGAUUCAGAGUUUAAAUAAGGGCCACACUUCACAGUAAUGAUGUAUGUCCUAAAUCCCCUUUAACAAUAAAUUAAAUUUAUGAUUAUUAAUCUGCCUCUUUGCCACCCACUACAAUAUAUUUGUUGAUACAGCAGGUUGCUUCCACUAGGAGCCCCAGAAUCUCCUAUCUUUGUGAAGGAAGGUUUAGGCACAGAGAUGGGCUCACACUCAGGUUUAAAUGCCCUCUUCUGGCCGAUAGACGCUACUACAUUUACUCACAUGUAUAUACUACAUACAUGUAGAUACAUACAGGUACAUACAAAUACACAUAAAAAUAAAAAUUUCCCUUAAA
ensembl:antisense